rnacentral:misc_RNA from 1 species
AAAGCCCAUUUGGCUCCUUAAAUAUUUAUCCUAUCCUUUCCUUUUUUCGUUAGCAGUUCACAAUUCGUUAUCUUUCUCGUUCACUCUACUCUUUCUUUCACAAAUGGAUCUGAGCGGAAAUGUUUUUCUCUUAUCACAAGUCUUGUGAUAUGUCUUGUGAUAUGUGAUAUAUAAUACACGUACAAAUGAAUAUCUUUGAGCAAAGAAUCUCCAUUUGAAUGAUUCAUGUCCAUAUCAUUGUAAUACCCUUUCGUUCUUUUAAUUGACAUAGACCCAAGUCAUCUAGUAAAAUGAGGAUGAUGCAUCGGGAAUG